rnacentral:rRNA from 1 species
UACGUAGGGUGCGAGCGUUAAUCGGAAUUACUGGGCGUAAAGCGUGCGCAGGCGGUUUUGUAAGCCAGAUGUGAAAGCCCCGGGCUUAACCUGGGAACUGCGUUUGAAACUACAAGGCUAGAGUGUGGCAGAGGGGGGUGGAAUUCCACGUGUAGCAGUGAAAUGCGUAGAGAUGUGGAGGAACACCGAUGGCGAAGGCAGCCCCCUGGGUUAACACUGACGCUCAGGCACGAAAGCGUGGGGAGCAAACAGG